rnacentral:rRNA from 1 species
GAUCCUGGCUCAGGACGAACGCUGGCGGCGUGCCUAAUACAUGCAAGUCGAACGCUUCUUUUUCCACCGGAGCUUGCUCCACCGGAAAAAGAGGAGUGGCGAACGGGUGAGUAACACGUGGGUAACCUGCCCAUCAGAAGGGGAUAACACUUGGAAACAGGUGCUAAUACCGUAUAACAAUCGAAACCGCAUGGUUUUGAUUUGAAAGGCGCUUUCGGGUGUCGCUGAUGGAUGGACCCGCGGUGCAUUAGCUAGUUGGUGAGGUAACGGCUCACCAAGGCGACGAUGCAUAGCCGACCUGAGAGGGUGAUCGGCCACAUUGGGACUGAGACACGGCCCAAACUCCUACGGGAGGCAGCAGUAGGGAAUCUUCGGCAAUGGACGAAAGUCUGACCGAGCAACGCCGCGUGAGUGAAGAAGGUUUUCGGAUCGUAAAACUCUGUUGUUAGAGAAGAACAAGGAUGAGAGUAACUGUUCAUCCCUUGACGGUAUCUAACCAGAAAGCCACGGCUAACUACGUGCCAGCAGCCGCGGUAAUACGUAGGUGGCAAGCGUUGUCCGGAUUUAUUGGGCGUAAAGCGAGCGCAGGCGGUUUCUUAAGUCUGAUGUGAAAGCCCCCGGCUCAACCGGGGAGGGUCAUUGGAAACUGGGAGACUUGAGUGCAGAAGAGGAGAGUGGAAUUCCAUGUGUAGCGGUGAAAUGCGUAGAUAUAUGGAGGAACACCAGUGGCGAAGGCGGCUCUCUGGUCUGUAACUGACGCUGAGGCUCGAAAGCGUGGGGAGCAAACAGGAUUAGAUACCCUGGUAGUCCACGCCGUAAACGAUGAGUGCUAAGUGUUGGAGGGUUUCCGCCCUUCAGUGCUGCAGCUAACGCAUUAAGCACUCCGCCUGGGGAGUACGACCGCAAGGUUGAAACUCAAAGGAAUUGACGGGGGCCCGCACAAGCGGUGGAGCAUGUGGUUUAAUUCGAAGCAACGCGAAGAACCUUACCAGGUCUUGACAUCCUUUGACCACUCUAGAGAUAGAGCUUCCCCUUCGGGGGCAAAGUGACAGGUGGUGCAUGGUUGUCGUCAGCUCGUGUCGUGAGAUGUUGGGUUAAGUCCCGCAACGAGCGCAACCCUUAUUGUUAGUUGCCAUCAUUUAGUUGGGCACUCUAGCAAGACUGCCGGUGACAAACCGGAGGAAGGUGGGGAUGACGUCAAAUCAUCAUGCCCCUUAUGACCUGGGCUACACACGUGCUACAAUGGGAAGUACAACGAGUCGCAAAGUCGCGAGGCUAAGCUAAUCUCUUAAAGCUUCUCUCAGUUCGGAUUGUAGGCUGCAACUCGCCUACAUGAAGCCGGAAUCGCUAGUAAUCGCGGAUCAGCACGCCGCGGUGAAUACGUUCCCGGGCCUUGCACACACCGCCCGUCA